rnacentral:rRNA from 1 species
AUUGAACGCUGGCGGCAUGCCUUACACAUGCAAGUCGAACGGCAGCGGACCUUCGGGUGCCGGCGAGUGGCGAACGGGUGAGUAAUGUAUCGGAACGUACCUUUCAGUGGGGGAUAACUAUCCGAAAGGAUAGCUAAUACCGCAUAUUCUGUGAGCAAGAAAGCAGGGGAUCGCAAGACCUUGCGCUGAUUGAGCGGCCGAUAUCAGAUUAGCUAGUUGGUGGGGUAAAAGCUCACCAAGGCGACGAUCUGUAGCGGGUCUGAGAGGAUGAUCCGCCACACUGGAACUGAGACACGGUCCAGACUCCUACGGGAGGCAGCAGUGGGGAAUUUUGGACAAUGGGCGCAAGCCUGAUCCAGCCAUGCCGCGUGAGUGAAGAAGGCCUUCGGGUUGUAAAGCUCUUUCGGCCGGGAAGAAAUCGCAUAGGUUAAUACCCUGUGUGGAUGACGGUACCGGAAUAAGAAGCACCGGCUAACUACGUGCCAGCCGCCGCAGUAAGAC